AUGAAUAUCUAUGGCGUUGGUUGUAGCUGGCUUCUCGGAGCAUUGUGCACGCCCGUCAUUUUUAUCUUUCCACCUGUGCACCCAAUGUAGAUCUGGAUAACUCUCGCUUUCCAAAGCGGAAACAAGGAUUGCUGUGCCGCGAAGGCCGCCUCUCUUUGAAUUUCCAGUUCUAUGUCUUUUACACACCCCAAUUGAAUGAUAAAUGAAGUAGUCAAUGGGCUCUAAGCCUAUAAAAUAAUAUA
rnacentral:misc_RNA from 1 species